CUUUGACAUGAGAACACCCCUGCGGCUUGGGAAAACACUGACUGUAGCAGGAGCCUUGCUCUGAAGACUUAACUACUCCAUGUAAGGCUCUAUGGUGCAGGAGAAUUUCCUUUUGGUCCUGGGGAUUUUUCUUUUUUGUUUUUACCCAGGGGAGAAAUGAAAAACUAGACUAGCAUCAUGGCAGGAACAAAGCUGCUGCUGGCUGCUGUGCCAUUCCCAGAGCUAGAGGAUCACAAGGCCAGAAGGAAAUGUUGUGAUCAUUUCUGUAGGAUCUUCUGUAUGACACAGGCCAUAUAAUUUCACCAAGCAAUUCCUGCACCUACCCAACAACUUUUGGUUUAGCUAAAGCAUAUCUUUUAGAAAGACAUCCAAUCCUGAUUUACACAGAGUGCAUCCAGAACUUCCGCAUAACCUGCUCAAGAUCAACUUUUAACCACAGAUGACAACCUGAAGGAAUUUGAACAUUUGAUUUGGAAGCAAAGCCCUGUGUGUCAAUAAAAAA